CGGUGGUAGCAAUACCAUAGUGGCGCACGGGUGCGUAACGCGUAACCAACCUGCCCUUGACUGGGGGAUAGCCCGCCGAAAGGCGGAUUAAUACCGCAUAUACCCGCAGUGUGGCAUCACACAAUGGGGAAAGAUUUAUUGGUCAAGGAUGGGGUUGCGUAGCAUUAGCUAGUUGGCGGGGUAACGGCCCACCAAGGCGACGAUGCUUAGGGGACCUGAGAGGGUGAUCCCCCACACUGGCACUGAGAUACGGGCCAGACUCCUACGGGAGGCAGCAGUAGGGAAUAUUGGGCAAUGGACGAGAGUCUGACCCAGCCAUGCCGCGUGCCGGAUGAAGGCCUUCUGGGUUGUAAACGGCUUUUCUCAGGGAAGAAAAAGACCUUGCGAGGUACACUGACGGUACCUGAGGAAUAAGCACCGGCUAACUCCGUGCCAGCAGCCGCGGUAAUACGGAGGGUGCAAGCGUUGUCCGGAUUUAUUGGGUUUAAAGGGUGCGUAGGCGGCCCGUUAAGUCCGGGGUGAAAGCCCACAGCUCAACUGUGGAACUGCCCUGGAUACUGGCGGGCUUGAGUCCAGACGAGGUUGGCGGAAUGGAUGGUGUAGCGGUGAAUGCAUAGAUACCAUCCAGAACCCCGAUUGCGUAGGCAGCUGACUAGGCUGGUACUGACGCUGAGGCACGAAAGCGUGGGGAGCGAACAGGAUUAGAUACCCUGGUAGUCCACGCCGUAAACGAUGGAUACUCGCUGGUGGCGAUAGACUGUCACUGGCUUAGCGAAAGCGGUAAGUAUCCCACCUGGGGAGUACGCUCGCAAGAGUGAAACUCAAAGGAAUUGACGGG
rnacentral:rRNA from 1 species